UACGUAGGGUGCGAGCGUUGCCCGGAUUUAUUGGGCGUAAAGGGCGCGUAGGCGGCUCGGCACGUCCGUUGUGAAAUCGCUCGGCUCAACUGGGCGAGGUCAGCGGAUACGGUCGAGCUUGAGCCAGCUAGGGGGCAAUGGAAUUCCCGGGUGUAGCGGUGAAAUGCGUAGAUAUCGGGAGGAACACCAGUGGCGAAGGGCGGGCAUC
rnacentral:rRNA from 1 species